GCUGGUGUGGCUCAGUGGUUGAGUGUCAACCUAUGAAUCAGGAGGUCACUGUUGAAUUCCCGAUCAGGGUACAUGUCCCAGUUGUGGGCCCGAUCCCCAGUAGGGAGAGUGCAAGAUGCAGCUGAUCAAAGA